rnacentral:rRNA from 1 species
GAUGAACGCUAGCGAUAGGCUUAACACAUGCAAGUCGAGGGGCAGCACAAGGUAGCUUGCUAUCUGGGUGGCGACCGGCGCACGGGUGCGUAACGCGUAUGCAACUUGCCCUAUACAGGAGGAUAACCCGUCGAAAGACGUACUAAUACUGCGUAUGCUCACAACUUGGCAUCAAGUGGUGAGGAAAGAAAUUCGGUAUAGGAUAGGCAUGCGUCCCAUUAGCUUGUUGGUGAGGUAACGGCUCACCAAGGCAACGAUGGGUAGGGGAACUGAGAGGUUUAACCCCCACACUGGUACUGAGACACGGACCAGACUCCUACGGGAGGCAGCAGUGAGGAAGAUUGGUCAAUGGGCGCGAGCCUGAACCAGCCAAGUCGCGUGAAGGAUGACUGUAUUAUGGAUUGUAAACUUCUGUUAUACGGGAAUAACAAGAGUCACGUGUGACUCCCUGCAUGUACCGUAUGAAUAAGCAUCGGAUAACUCCGUG